UACAGGGGGUGCAAACGUUGCUCGGAAUCAUUGGGCGUAAAGCGCACGUAGGCGGUUCGUUAUGUCGGAUGUGAAAGCCCUUGGCUUAACCGAGGAAGUGCAUCCGAAACUGGCGAGCUAGAGUACUAAAGAGGAUCGCGGAAUUCCCGGUGUAGAGGUGAAAUUCGUAGGUAUCGGGAGGAACACCGGUGGCGAAGGCGGCGAUCUGGGUAGAUACUGACGCUGAGGUGCGAAAGCGUGGGGAGCAAACAGG
rnacentral:rRNA from 1 species